rnacentral:misc_RNA from 1 species
GGAUGAAGAACGUAGCGAAAUGCGAUAAGUAAUGUGAAUUGCAGAAUUCAGUGAAUCAUCGAAUCUUUGAACGCACAUUGCGCCCGCUAGUAUUCUGGCGGGCAUGCCUGUUCGAGCGUCAUUUCAACCAUCAAGCUCCUUAGCUUGUGUUGGGGACCUGCGGCUGCCGCAGCCCCCGAAAUGCAGUGGCGGGCUCGUUGUCACACCGAGUGCAGUAAUCAUUCUUCUCUCCGGGCGUGGCGGCGGGUUCCGGCCGUAAAAUCACCAAUUUAUCAAGGUUGACCUCGGAUCAGGUAGGAAUACCCGCUGAACUUAAGCAUAUCAAUAAGCGGAGGA